rnacentral:rRNA from 1 species
UACGUAGGGUGCGAGCGUUAAUCGGAAUUACUGGGCGUAAAGCGUGCGCAGGCGGUUUUGUAAGCCAGAUGUGAAAUCCCCGGGCUUAACCUGGGAAUGGCAUUUGGGACUGCAAGGCUGGAGUUUGGCAGAGGAGACUGGAAUUCCUGGUGUAGCAGUGAAAUGCGCAGAUAUCAGGAGGAACACCGAUUGCGAAGGCAGCUCACUGGGACGUUACUGACGCUGAGACGCGAAAGCGUGGGGAGCAAACAGG